GAUGAAGAACGUAGCGAAAUGCGAUAAGUAAUGUGAAUUGCAGAAUUCAGUGAAUCAUCGAAUCUUUGAACGCACAUUGCGCCCAUUAGUAUUCUAGUGGGCAUGCCUGUUCGAGCGUCAUUAAGUCCACUUAAGCCCUGCUUAGUGUUGGGAGACUGCUCCAGCGGUGCUACCCUGUAGCUACCCUGCAGCUCCUCAAAGACAGCGGCGGAGUUGUGGUAUCCUCUGAGCUUAGUAACUUGUUCUAGCUUUCGAGUACACCACUUCCCCUGCCGUAAAACCCUUAAUUUUUAAUGGUUGACCUCGGAUCAGGUAGGAAUACCCGCUGAACUUAAGCAUAUCAAUUAGCGGAGGA
rnacentral:misc_RNA from 1 species